AAGUCGUAACAAGGUAACCGUAGGUGAACCUGCGGUUGGAUCAUUAGUGGUUUUUACGUAGCGCUGUUGUAGUGUUUCUGGGGGGUUUUCUUUGGUUUUGUGUGUUUGUCUUUCUUUCUUUGUUUGUCUGUUUUUGUGCAUUGCCUUGUGCAUUGCCUUGUGCAUUGCCUUGUGCUGCCUUGUGCUGCCUUGUGCGGUGUCUUGUGCGUUGCCGUGGCAGUACAAACGGAUCGACGGCAACACUCGGACCAGACCCAAGAACCCUUGCAGACAAUAGACGUCUUUGCUUGCUUUGAUGAAACCAAAUCAAAAACAACUUUUGACAACGGAUCUCUUGGCUCUC
rnacentral:misc_RNA from 1 species